rnacentral:rRNA from 1 species
UAAGCAUAUCAAUAAGCGGAGGAAAAGAAACCAACAGGGAUUGCCUCAGUAACGGCGAGUGAAGCGGCAACAGCUCAAAUUUUAAAGCUGGCGUCCUCGACGCCCGCAUUGUAAUUUGGAGAGGCAGCUUCGGUUAGGGCGUCAGCCUAUGUCCCUUGGAACAGGACGUCACAGAGGGUGAGAAUCCCGUGCCUGGCAGGCUGUCCCUCCCCACGUGAAGCGCCUUCGACGAGUCGAGUUGUUUGGGAAUGCAGCUCAAAAUGGGUGGUAAAUUUCAUCUAAAGCUAAAUAUUGGCGGGAGACCGAUAGCGCACAAGUAGAGUGAUCGAAAGAUGAAAAGCACUUUGAAAAUAGAGUUAAAAAGUACGUGAAAUUGUUGAAAGGGAAGCGCUUGAGACCAGACUCGGCCGGAGAUGAUCAGCUGUCCAUCUGGGCGGUGCACUCGUUUCCUGUCGGGCCAGCAUCGGUUGAGACGGCGGGACAAAGGUCUCGGGAACGUGGCUCCUCUCGGGGAGUGUUAUAGCCCGGGACGCAAUGCCGUCAGCCUCGACCGAGGACCGCGCCUUUGUGCUAGGAUGCUGGCGUAAUGGUCUUCAGCGACCCGUCUUGAAACACGGACCAAGGAGUCUAACAUCUAUGCGAGUGUUUGGGUGUCAAACCC